CCUAAUUUUAAUUAAAUUAUAAAUAUAAUUUAUUAAUUUUUAAUAGUAAAUAUAAUUUAAUUUAAACAUACUUUUUCUUAAAACUUUGGUGAACACUUAAACUUGUAGAUCAAAAUAUAAUGUUCAUUGUUGAGAAAUGGACAUUAGUAUAUUUACAAAAAAAUGUGAGGUGGGAUGGUGUAAAUUAAGAAAGCAGCUGGCUAGGUAAUUUGGAGGUUUCUGAUGAGGAAACUUGAGGGAACUCACUUUAUGUAGACUCAGUAUAUUCCCACUCAAAGAGAAGAUUAAAUUAUUGCUGCUUUGGAGCUUACUGGAAGCAGAGGGUAGAAAAACGACAGGAAACCACAGGAACUCAUUUCUUCUCUCUAUAGGGGUUACACAUCAAUGAUAUGCGCUUCAUUCAUGUUUGUUAGUGAACUGGGAUGCACUUGGAUAUCAAAACAUUGGCAGUUUUCUUUAAAAACAGUGCUGUUUUUGAUGAAAUAGCCAUUGUAUAAAUGUACCUCAGAGGCUGCUAUGCUAUAGCAUAUCAAACUGACUUUAGAAAAAAACAAACGAGAAAUUUCUUUCUUGAGUACUAAAAGUGUAACUGUCAAUAAUCAUGGCAAAUAUUUUGAUAGG
rnacentral:lncRNA from 1 species